rnacentral:rRNA from 1 species
UUGAUCCUGGCUCAGAUUGAACGCUGGCGGCAUGCUUUACACAUGCAAGUCGAACGGCAGCGGGGGCUUCGACCUGCCGGCGAGUGGCGAACGGGUGAGUAAUGCAUCGGAACGUGCCCAGUCAUGGGGGAUAACUACGCGAAAGCGUAGCUAAUACCGCAUACGCCCUGAGGGGGAAAGCGGGGGAUCGCAAGACCUCGCGUGAUUGGAGCGGCUGAUGUCGGAUUAGCUAGUUGGUGGGGUAAAGGCCUACCAAGGCGACGAUCCGUAGCGGGUCUGAGAGGAUGAUCCGCCACACUGGGGCUGAGACACGGCCCAGACUCCUACGGGAGGCAGCAGUGGGGAAUUUUGGACAAU